GGGAAUGGAAGCUCCAUGUUCUAUGCAUUAAUGCAUCAAAUAUGCCAACAUUAAAAUGAAGUAUAAUUUCCUGAGGGAUAUCUUAAGUUGAAAAUUACAUGCUGAUCACUAAAGAAACCAAAGGUUUCCCCUUUGGUGCUCAGUUAGUUGUCGCUGGCACCUUCUUAUCCUAAGAUGCCACCCUGCUCCACCUUACAAGAUAUGUUUAGAUAUCUCCAAGCUUCCUGAUAACACAUCCUGCAAGUUAGCAGAUAAUGACCCAAGAACUUCUGCCCCCUGUCAAGCACAUGGGAAACCCAGGUGCGGUUCAAGGAUCCUGGCUUCAACCUGGCUCAUCCCUGGCUAUAACCUGGAUGAUGUGGACAUUUUACAGAGUAAACCAUGUCCUAUAUUCUGAGUAGUCACAGAACAGCAGCCAAGUGGAAAUGACAGUGACUGACAAUUACAGAAAAACAUAAAAUGGCUUCCAGAAGCUCACAGAGACCCGUGGACCUCAAUCAACUGAACUAGAAAUCCAUUACACAACUUAAUUUUGUGUAUCCAACUGUGAGAUAUAUUUACCACUCUACUGACAAGAACUAUAGAUAAUAAAUGCAGCCUGUAAUACAGCUCACCAUGUGGUUCUACAAUCUGCUGUACUUCCCUGGGAUGCAGCAUAAUUAAAUGGCUGGGGUCAUGGACCUUCUCAGGAUUCAUGUUUUGAUACUUCAUAAAGAAAGAAGCUCAUUGAUGUAACUGUGUUGCACUGUGUUAAUGAGAUCCAGAAAAUAGGCUAUUAAUUGUCUCAUCUAAUCAAUGUUUUCUUGCUAUACCCUUUCUUUAUCUAAAUUAUGCCUUUCAAUGACUUUUUAUUAUAUUGCCAACAAUAUCCUGUUAUCAGCAAUAUGCUAUACUUGUUAAACCUAAUUUUAUAAAAAAGGCCAA